UUUUACAGCCCAGCUCUAGGGGCAAGUCACUCCACUUUGGUCUCAGUUUUCAGGUCUGCCAUAAUGACAGGGUUAGACGAGAUGACUGCAGAGUUCCUUUCCCAAUCUGUGGUCUUCUUGUUUUCCUCUCAUCUUCCCUCUCUACACAAAAACUGGAAUAUUGAGAGCCUCUGAGGACGUGGCUAUGAGCCAUUGAAGUCCAGUGGUAAGACAGAAGUCAGGACCACAGCUAACAGCCUGGACAACCUUGGUAUCAUCUAUGUGUGACCAAACUCUAAGUGCUCUACAAUGCUUUCUUGUCCACCUUCUUGGCCCAUGGAACAAAUUGUUGGCAUCUUCCCCUUCUAUCAGGGGAGUCUUCACAUGCCUGGGGUAGACAUCCCCUAACUCAGCGACUGGUUUGAGACUUGCCAGCUACCCUUCACCUGGUUUAGCCCCUGUAUCAAGAGUUUUAUCCCAGUGCCUCUGCUGCUCAAUGAGCUACAGCUUCUUAGAGUCACAGGUGGACAUUCCCUCCCAUGAUGCAGAUCCCAACCCUUCCACGCCUGACCGCCUUGUGUGGCUCUUGUCCAUGCCCUUUCUGAAGACUGCCACAUGGGGUUCUCGUGACAUUCGGAGAGCUGCCCCAAAUGGAGUACAUGGACCAUCCAUCACUUCUCAUCACUUCUCACUCUUGUUUUGUGAGUAACAGAGAUUAAAAACAGAUGAGUACAACAAUGAUCCAGAAUAGGAUUUGCAGGUAUGUGGACAACCUACAGAGCUUACACACACAUGAUAUACAUUUACAUAUAUAUAUUUGCAUAUACAUGUAUUUCAUAUGUAUAUAGUCACAUUGUUGCUGUUUUUCAGUCUUGUCCCACUCUUCUGACUGCAUUUGGGGUUUUCUUGGCAGGUACUAGAGUAGUUGGCCAUUUCCUUCUCCAGUUCAUUUUACAAAUGAGGAGACGGAGGCAGACAUGAUUAAGUGACUUGUUCAAGGUCAGACAGUUUGUAAGUAUCCCACAUCAAAGCCUUUUUAUCUUGGGGGGGCUUACUAGAUCCAAGAGUAUAUGCAACUUGCCACAGUGAGGCAUUGAAGGAGGUCUUUGGUGGAAGUCAAAAUAUAUGCCACAUUAUGUAAUAUUAUAUUAUUUUCUUUCUGCACCAUUGUCUCCAUCAUAGUCUUCUUCAGAAUCAGUCAACUGGAGUCAGGAAGACCUGAGCUCAAAUUUGUCUCAGAUACUUACUAGCUGUGUAGCCCUAGGCAAGUCACUUAACACUGUUGGCCUCAGUUUCCACAUCUGUCAAAUGAGCUGGAGAAGGAAAUAGCAAACCAUUCCAGUAUCUUUGCCAAAAAAAAAACCCAAAUGGGGUCACAAAGAGAAUUGGACACAAAUAAAAAUGACUUAACAACAACAAUGUGCCAGAUACUAUGCUAAGCCAUGGAGAGACAAAACAACUCAGAAACCAUGAUGUCUGCUCUCAAGAAGCUCCCAGUCCUCACAAGGCAUGUCUCUCUUUUUUUUUUAUACCCUGACCUUCUGCCUUAGAAUCAGUACUGUGUAUUGGUUCCAAGGCAGAAGAGCAGUAAGGGCUAGGCAAUGGUGGCUACAAGUGACUUGCCCAGGGUCACACAGCUAGGAAGUGUCUGAGGCUGGAUUUGAACCCAGGAUCUCCUAUCUCUAGGCCUGGCUCUCAAUCCGCUGAGCUACCCAGCUGCCCCUGGCAUAUCUCUUCUUUAGCACUCAUUUUCCAUGUUUUUAAAAUGAAGUUGUUGAACUAAAUCACCUCUAAGUUUCUUUGUAACUGGAAAUUUGUUGAUCCUAUGAUCUUUUUGCCUUUCAAAGUUUGAUAAUCAACUAAUCUGGGCUAAUGUCCUAAUUAAUGUAAAUGAUCAAAACAACUUGUAGGUAAUAUACAUGUUUAUAAAGUGUAUGUGUGUACAGAGAAAUAUAUUUAUGCAUGUAGUAGACAUGUAUAUUUAUUAUUAUAUGCCUUAUAUCAGGAAAAGUAUAUAUUUCUAUGGAUAGAUAAAUUAAUAAAAGUCUUAACUUGGUUGUCUAACCCUUGGUGACUUAGUGGACUUUUCAAGUCAAGGUGGAGGAAGCAACAGCUCCUAACAAGGCCAAUGGAAAAGAUCCAGUUCCCUUUAAACCAAUCUAAUCCAACCCAAACAACACUGAUUAAACAACUCCCAUGUGCCAAGUCAAGUCUCACCCCAAGUUUUUUUGGAGGAUGAAAGGGUGGCUUUCAGUAGGUCCCAUUCCUCCUUGGCAGGCAGUCCUAAAUGCCAAAUAAACACAAAUGUGAAAGGAUGUGGGGUUAAGAGAUGAUCAGGUUCUGAAGCAGGAGGCAGAUUUUCUGUGUGCCCUUAGCCUCAUCCCCACUGUCUUUUCCAACUCCUUAUCCUCUAGUCACCCCCCAGCAGCAUCCUCGUCUGAUUUACAAUGGCAGCAGAGCUGAUGGCACAGCAAAGGCAGGAAUAAUGAUGAUGGUGAUGAUGAUAAUCAUCAUCACCAUCAAGGAAGUGAUCAUUUAUAGAGCUUUUUGUUUUCAAUUUUCAUCUUCAAUCUGCCUGAAACAAAACAUUUGCUAAUUGAUCCUCCUGGCACCUCUGUGAGGUAGGUAAGAAUUAUCAUCUCUCCCCAAGAAAUAUCUAGGUUAUUAAUAGCUGAAUGGGCUAUAUAAGAGUCAUGAUGAGCUUUUUUUUUUAAUCAGAAGCCAUUUGUCACCAAUACCAAUUCUGAACUUACCUAUUGAUUCCACAGGCUCCAAGAGAGUUCUCAUCCUUAACCGCCCCCCACCCCCAGACACAACCUGUUUUUAAUUCUCCAGGGGCUGAUUUUCUAGAAGGUAAAUUAUCUGGGUCCUAGGCUAGAGCUGGUUUUAUGUGUAGAGGAUACCAGCAGCUCUCCAUGUGCGGUGCUUUGAGGGGAACUUUCCUCUAUGUCCUGCUGGCCUGAUGGAGUCGUCUCAACCCUUUAGCAAAUAUUUAUUAAAUCCCUAUAAGAAAAACAGUUUGAAAUAAUGACUAGAAAACUGGUCUAGGGUCACACCUCUCUAAUGUACUAGUGAUGAGACCCUUAGUGAAUCCCCUAACCACUCAAAAUUUUAGGUAGCACCACAAUUUUAAUUAAGGGAAGGUGCUAACUUGUACUAGCAGAAGGAAUGCUCAUUUGUGAGUUCCCUAUAAAAAUAAGGAUAUUUUAUUUUGUCAAUUACAUGUAAUAAAUUUCCACAUAAGUUUUUUCUGAAGUUGUAUGACCCAAAUUGCCUCCCUUCCUCCCUUUGCACCCCUCUCCCAGAGAUGGUAAGCAAUUUGAUCUGGGUUAACCAUGUAUUAUCAUUUCCUAUAAAAAUAAAAUCAUAGAUCUUGUCCCUAUCCUACUACAUGUAAAGCAUUACAACCCAACUUCUAGCUCUUUAUUAAGGCAACUGAAGGCAGCAAUACAUUAGCAGAAGUAAAUUUGAUUGAUCUUUAAUUUUUCUUCCAGUCAUAGUGGGUGGAAGUGGAUGUGGAUGUGUGUUUUCCUUCCUGCUUAAAUCCAAGCAAGAUCUAGAGUUAGAGUUCUGGGAAUAUCUAUGACCUAUCUAUCUCCUUUUCUCAGUUGACAUUUACUUCCCCAGGCAUGGAUGGUAAGAAAAAAAGUCUUCACUACUUGGACAAUGGAUGUGCCACAUCUUGACAAUGGAGGGAAGAUAGCUAUGGAAAGUUCUCUGGAUUCAUCUUUACUCUUACCUUACCUCCCUAUCCCUAUGUCAACUCAGUCACCAAGUCCUAUUGAUUUUCUCCUCUUUUCUUCUCACCUCUCCAUAGUGGCAAUCCUAGGCCAGCUCUUCAUUGGCUCACUCUUGUAUUAAUGCAACAACUUUCUAGCAGUCCUCUCUGACUUUGGACUCAUCUCUUCUAAUCUAUCUUGGAAACAUCUGUGAGACUCAACUGCCCUAGACCACCAUUUUAUCAAGAUUAUGCAAAUCCUUUCUGGUACUGCCACCUCCAUAUGCAAUGCUCAUUACCAGAGAUGGGCCUUCAUUUAUAUCAUUUCCUUCACUGGUAUACCUUUCUUUUUCCCUUGUACCUAUUCAAAACCUACUUGUUCAAAAUCCAACUUAAGCCCUGUUUCUUCCAUUAAAACAUUCCGAAUUCCUCCAGUCCACAGACAUCGUCCCAUUGGAAGGAAUAAAUCUCCUCCCACACACAUCCAUGGAGCCCACCCUAACUACUCCAGCUCCUGGAUUCCCUGCUUUUUGUGUCAGCUCUAUUCUGCUUACUGUCUAAGCUGCUCAUUUGUAGCAUAUAUAUACACUAUCUUGUACUUGAACUAGGCUAUUUCAUAUGAGGAUGUCUUCCCUCCUCAGCUAGAGGACAAGUACCUGAAAGACUGAUAUACAAUUUUUUUUAAUUAAAAAUUAUUAUUGGUUUUAAACAAUUUCUUUAAAAAUUUGAGUUCUAAAUUUCUUUCUCCCCCUUCAGUCCCUCUCUCACUCACUGAGAAAGCAAAUAGUAUAUCAAUUUUAUAUGCGAAAUAAAGCAAGAUAUAUUUCCAUGUUGGCCACAUUGCAAAAUAAAGCGAGAAAAAUAGUGAGAAAAUUAUGCUUGAAUCUGCACAUAAAGUUCAUUUGCGCUUUCUCUGGAGGCGGAUAGUAUUUUUUUUAGUUACUGUUGCCAUGUACAAUGUUCUCCUGGUUCUUCUAACUUCAUUUGCAUCAGUUUGUAUAGGUCUUCCCACAUUUUUCUAAAACUAUCCCCCUCAUCAUUUCUUAUCACAGAACAAUUCUCCAUCACAAUCAUAUAUCACAACUUUUGUACCCAUUACCCAAUUGAAGGGCAUUCCCUCAGUUUCUACUUCUUUGCCAACACAAAAAGAGCUGCUAUAAAUAUUUUUUGUCCUAAUAGGUCCUUUUCCUUUUCCUUUAGCUUCUUUGGGAUGCAGAUGUAGUAGCUGUAUUGUUAGAUCUAAGGGUAUAGAGUUUUAUUGCACUUUGGGCAUAGUCCCACAUUCUUCUCCAAAAUGAUUGGACUGAUUUACAAUUCUCAUGUAUUCCCUUGAGAGCUAGCAAAUGACUAUAUGCCCAAUAGGUGAUCCCAAAGGGAAACUAUAACCUCUGUCCUAGAUUUUAAGCUGUCUGAGUACAAGGAUCUUCUCUUGUUCACAUCAUCCCCAGCUUCUAGCACAGUGCUCCAUAUUCUAUAGACAUCUGAUAAAUAUUUACUGAAUUUAAUGAAUGAGUGAAGGAAUGCCUGAAUAAGACAGUGGGCUGGAAGUAGAUAUAAUUUAACAUUUCUAAAAGAGAUUUUUUUACAAGUGAGAGUCAAUACUUUCCACUUCUACUGAUUAAAAACAAAAGCAAAAGAACAAGCAUUUGUUAAUUACUUACAAUGUACAGGCAAUGGGAAUACAAAUACAAGCAGAAAGAAAGUCUCCACCUUUAAGGAUCUUGCAUUUUCAUGGGCAAUGAGGGAAAAAUAACAUAUAAAAUGAUCAUGAAAAGUGGGAUAGCUUGGGGAAUAAAGGUACCCAGUCAAGCCACAUGCUGGUGAAAGUCCAGAAGAGUCAGGAAUGUAUCCUAGAUAUAAAUAAGGGGGAAGAAAUGAUUCAAAUCACAAUGGAAAGGAAGAAAUCCUUGUUUUUAAAGACUGAGAUUCUGAGUCAGGUGACCAAAGGUCUCAUGAAAUAUACUAUAUAUUAAGAAUGAAGUUUUGGGAAGGACUGCUAAGAAAUGAUAUGGUUUUCUAGUAUUUUAUUCUCCUCACCUUUUACUCUCUUUUCUCUUCUAUCACCCCAUCCACUCUCAUCAAGAUAAAGGACUCAUUCUUUUACAGAAACUUUCAGAUUCUUGGUCUGAAUACUUUUAAUUCCCACUGGCCUCAGGACUGACCCCUGUCAUGGUGAGCUGACUCAGAAGAAUCAAACAUAAUUAAUGAUACUGAACUUUCUUCUACUUCUGUGGUCAACAAAGACAAAUAGGAGAGCUGUUAGAAGUCUUCACUAUUGGACAAGUGAAAAGAAUAGUUCCUAGAGUUUUUUUCUAUGACUUCUUUAUGUAAGUAAUCAAGAUGUUAAACUUCCUGGUAUAAGAUCUGAAAUGGAGGCAAGUUGUUCUUUUGGGCCAUGGCUAUGAUUUUUCUUUAAACCCAUCUCUAGAAGUGUAUAAUUCAUUGGAAGUCUUCCACGUAAAACUGCAUGAUCCUUUGUCAGGGAUGCUUUAGGGAGGAAGUGUUAUUAUAGGGAAUAAGUUCCUGGACUAGGACUCCAGGAGACCACAUAUGAGAAAGCAGAAGAAUAGGAAUAGAAUACAAAAAAGGUAAAAAAAAAGUGAGGGAAAAAGAGGGCAAAGAGAAGUCUAUGUCAGAAUGAGAAAGAAAGGUCACUGCAAUGGCCUCAUAGGCCACUCAGCAGAGACCUACUAUAGGCUACUGACUCCUAUGGGAAGAACCCUGGGAUGUAAAUCAAAAAAUUCCUAAAUUACAGAAAUGGCUAUGUAAAUUCCAUAAUCUCUCUUCUAUACCAUUCUCCUUAUUUAUUCACUGGUUAUCCAAAAAAAAAAAAAAAGAUUAGCUGAACACUUCAAAGAGAGAGACAUGUAAAGGGCACAAAGAAAUAAAAAAUUGAAAAAAAUGUGUUGAAGAGUAAAAUGUGUUAAACAAAUGCCAAACAGAGAUUAUUUUCCCAUUGUUAAUAUUCAUGGAUAUCUGCUGUUUCUUUAUAACAGUAUGAGUCUACUCAGAAAAAUAUAUGAUUAUAAAUAAUUACUGGACAGAAACAUCUUGAAGAUCUAGAAGCAUUGCCUUUUGAAUUGAUAUUAUCAUUGGUGAUAAUAAAAAUUAAUUCAAUGCCCUAUACAUGUAGGGGAAGUUAUAAGUAUUAUAAAGGGGAAUCUAUAGAUAGUUAUCAAAAAUUGAGUAUAUAUUAUACUGUUGUGGAAAGAGCACUGGCUUUAGGGUCAGAGGAACUGAUUUCAAAUUCCAGCUCUACAAUGAUUUAACUGUGACACUGAGUAAAUCACCUUUCCUUAUCUGUAAAAUGAAAUUGGUUUUAAUUAUCACUGGGGUCCCUUUUAAAUCCUAGAGAAAAAUCAACAAACAAAUAAAACAGUGUCAUCAAAACAUCAAAGACUAAGUAAUGUCUAGCAAUGGGUAGUGUGGUUUUAAGUCAUAUCCUAUAACAUUUCUGAUUAUUAUUUUAUAAUACUGCUUCAUGCUACCCCAUUAUCAAGUCAUUUUAAGAUGUUAUUAAUAUACAGAUGUUGUCUUAAUAUACUUUUUAAUUUACUUUGGCUCUCUCCCAUGUACAUUUUGAGGAAAAGUAUUUUAUUUAGUAGCAGCUCAUUUAUUUUAGAAUAUAUGUUCUUUUAUUAUCAAUGUGAGAAUCCUAAUGACAUUUAUAUCUGAGUUUUCUUCCUUUCUUCCCUAGCAGCCUCCUGAAUACACAAGGGAAAACGCUUUCCUUCUAUUUCCUAAGUUUUCAGGAUAAUUUGGCCGGCUCUAUCAUUUUGUCCUGUUUCUCUUUCUGUCUCUGCCACUAUCUCUGCCUAUCUCUGUUUCUGUGUCUCUGCUUCUCUAAUUCUCUUUCUUUGACUCUGUCUGUCCAUCUGUCUCUUUGUCUCUGUCUGUCUUUUUUCCCCAAUCCUUUGAAUCCACCAUAUUUCAUCAAUUUAGUUAAUUACUAACUUUUAGGAGAUCAGAAUUUCAUUUCAAUUUUUGAAUAAUUCAGAAUAAUCCUAGUUGUUUUAAUUCUCUAAAAAUAAGCCCAUUUAAAACAAUUGAAACUUUAAUGGAAAGCACCUAAUUUAGACCUUUAUCUAAAUUUCCCUGCAAAAUUGGCCCAAUCUGGCCCUACCUCUCUCCUCAACUUCCAUUAUUUAUAAUAAUGUAUUCUGGAAGAGACCAUUAGACAAAGGAAGAAUCACUGAAGAACAGAACCUAAUACCCAAACCAUAUUCCAAACCCACAUCUCCAGCUAUGGGCAGCCAGACAAUAUGGCUAGAGCACCAGGCAUGGAGUCAAGAAAAACUGCACUAAAACUUGCCCUUCCACAAUUCCUAGUGCUAUAUUCCUGAGCAAGUCAUUUAAUCUUUCUCAGACUAAUUUUUCUCAUCAUUGAAUGUGAUGAUGUCUAAUGUCCAUUGCAGUAAUAGAUAUGUGAUUAUAUGAUAUUUCUGAUUAAACUACCAGCAUAUGCCAAACAUGAACUCAUUACCUUACCCUCAAGCUUUGACUCUCCCAUUUCUGUCCAUGAAACAUCCUAGACAUACAGGCUACAGUUUUGGCAUGUGCUCUCUGUUUUUGGUUCUUCCUUUCUAUUUUUAUCCCAUCUCCUCUAUCAGCCCUGAUCAACUUUGAUUUUUCUAUAACUUGUAGCUUUAUCUCUAGGCUUCUCCUGCUGCUACCAGAAUAAUUUUCUCAAAGCAGGUUCACUCAUGAAAUUAAACUGAUCAAAACCCUUCAAUGCCCCCCCCAUUGCCUAUAGAAAGUAGCCUGUUUCUUAGACUGCCAGUUAGGCAGUUCCAAUCUACCUUUCAGACCUUACUUCCCAUGAUCUCUUACACAAACUCUUGGCUCUAAUUAGACUUGUUGAUUGCUUUUUCCUAACCUACCCAAAGUAUUUCUACCUUGCUACCUUUGACAAUAUGGAAAAUCCCUUCUAUCCAUCUGAUUCUUGCCAAGUUCCAAAACCUUCCGUGAUUUCCUCUUUCCUUCUCCCAUCUAUUUCCCUUCAAAACACAUUGAUCUUUCCCCUCUUCUUAUGUCCAUAGCAUUUAAUGUCAUUAGUAUUCAUUAAAUACUAUUCGUGUGCUGCCUUCUUUUGAGAGCUCUCUUUUCAUAUGUCUGAGUUUUUCUGCCAACUAAACUAUAAAUUCUUUGAGGACAGAGAAGAAAUUAUAAUCUCUUUUGUAUUUCUUUCCCAUGGUACCUACCAUAUUUUUCUACACAUCAUAGCCAGAAGCGUUUCAGUAUUUGGUAGGCACAAUACAGGGCAGAAUACUAGUUAGAUCAAAAAGGGCCCCAAAUUGUGGUCAAUGAAACCUGGAAGGAGGGUGACCUAUAAUAUUCUAGACCAAGAAUCCUAUGUGGUUAUCUCUAGGAUAGAAUGGCUGGGGGCUACUGGUUGUUGCUGGCAGUCCUUGGAGGAAUAUGGCCACUUGGGGAUUGUAUGAUUGUUGUGAUAAGGGGCCUGGGAUCAGAUCCCUUGAAUCCUGUGGUAGAAUGUAAAAUUUCUUGAGGUCAGGGACCAAUUUUUAUUUUGUCUUUGUAUCUCCAGUGCCCAGCACAGUACCUGCUACACAGAAGGUAAUUAAUAAAUGCUUUGAAAGUUGGAUUGGAUUGGAUUGGGCAACAGGUACUCAAAAAUAUUUUAUUGAUUUAUUGGCAAUUGAAUUUAUAAAACUCAACAUUCAGAGACUGAAUUAACUAGAUUGACCUAGCAUUAGAUAGAGGAUGAUACUUUUACCUCUUCUGGCUUCUCUGCCUCUCUAUUUAGCUUGCUAAAUCCAGUCCUCAUAUCUCAGGGAAUGGUUUCAGGCAAGAGUUUCUUGGGAACUAGGAUGUACCAUACCAGCCAAUCCAUCUCUGCUUAAAGAGAGACACUGGGAAAUUUAUAUUUGGAGUCAGAGACUUGGACCUCUAUCUAAAUUUCAUUGCACGAUGGCACAUGUUAAACCUAGUGGAGUUGUGCGUCAUAUAUGGGAGGGGGUAGGAGAGGAGAGGGAAGGAACAUGAGUCUUGUAAUGAUGGAAAAUUAUUCUAAAUCAUCUAAUUAAAUAAAAUUUAAAAAAUAAAUUUCAUUGAAAAUCUUAGGCUUCAAAUGCCAGGUGAAGACUAUUUUUCCAAUGUUAAUAUUUGUGGAUAUCUGCAUUCAGAUCUGUAUCAGAUACUUUAUAAUUAGUAUGACCCUAUAUAAGUUACUCUCUGAGUCUCAAUUUCCUCAUCUGUGAAAUGAGAUAGUUGGACUAGAUGACCUCUAACGCUCCUUCCAGGUCUAUUUUUUUCUUUUGAAAAAAAUGUAUUUAAUUAAUUCAUUUAGAAUAUUUUUCCAUGGUUCCAUGAUUCAUGUUCUUUCCCUCCCCUCCUCCCACCCCCUCUUGUAGUCAAUGAGCAGUUUCAUUGGGUUUUAUGUGUGUCAUUGAUCAAGACCUAUUUCCAUACUGAUCACUAGAGUGAUUGCUUAGAGUCUACAUCCCCAAUCAUAUCCCCAUCAACUCAUGGGAUCAAGCAGUUGUUUUUCUUCUGUGUUUCUAUUCCCAUAGUUCUUCCUGUGAAUGUGGAUAGUGCUCUUUCUCAUUAGUCCCUCAGAAUUGUCCUGGGUCACUGCAUUGCUGCUAGUAGAGAAGUCUGUUACAUUCAAUUGUACCACAGUGUAUCUUCCUUCUAGGUCUUAACCAUCAUCCUGUCAUGUGGCCACAGAUAUCCCAAGAGGCGUGAUAAAGAGAAUGGGGCAGAAACCCCCUUGAACACAGGAAACCAUCUCACCUUCACACUACUAAAUUCUCUCUCCUGUACAUUUGCUGCUGACCAAUGCCACACAUCCUAAGAACCCCUAGACUCUUCCAUCUGCUCUAUAGCGAAGCACUGCUUUCUGUUGUCUUGCCCAACUUGAAUGGGAAUUCCUUAAGAACAGGGAAUGUUUUGCAUUUCUGUUUGUGUCUAACAGAACUUAGCACUCAGUGUAGCACUUAAUAAAUGCUCAUUCAUUCAUCAAUGUAAAUCCCAACUUACUUAUACUUUUUUUACUCAAUGUAAUUCUUAUCCUUUACUCCUCAUAAAUUUUCUCUAGAAGCGCUAUUCAAUCUACUAAGGAUUUUCUUCUAAGUAUCUUCAUACUUUAUAGACAUUAGUCUCUAGUAUUCCUAGCUCCAGAUAUGAGAGCAUCUUACUGCCUUUAUUUCCUGGAUGAAGUUGGCACUGCUCAAUUGCUGCAGUUUAUAAAUAUCCACCAUUAUCUCUCCAUUACCAAAAUUUUGGUUCUUUGGAAACUGUGUUGUUUUAUGAUUUGCCAUCACAUAGCAUCAGAGGAAGAAUACUGCUGUUAAAGGGGUAGCUUUUGGGGUCAGAGGCAUCUUGGGAUUAUUGGAAACAUGGCUUAAUUUGAGAAAUAUAAUCAGUUUAUUUUCAUCUUCUGAAACAACUCUGACUCAAACUCACUGUAUGUUUCUAGUGUUGGCCAAGAUCACAAAAGUCCUCUUGCUGUCCUAACUUGAUUGACUACUUAUCCACCUGCAUGCCAUAGUCUAGACAAUAGGUAUUUUUUUUUCAUCCUCUUUGCUUUUAUAGUAUGGAUUGGUAGGUCUAUGUCUUUUGAGGAGUUGUGGAUUUCAUUGAGGAGUCCUUCAAUCUGGAGCUUGAUUAAAUUGGCCCAAUGUCAUUCACAAACAAGAAUGUCUAAAAGAACUCCUCCUUUGUCUUUAGGUGAUUCCAAUAGGACUCCCCUCCAAGGUAGUGAAAAAUAUCAUUACCUUAUCUGAUAUUAACAGUCACAGAUUUCGUGGAUAGUAUAAUUUCUAUGGUCAUAUCCAUGAAGGAAUAUUAUAUGUUAUGAACACAUAUAGGAGACAUUGCUAAAGAAGAAUCUUUGAAUCUAUGCUUUGUUCUUCCUGAAUUAUAUAUACAUAUAUAUAGUAUAUAUGUUUAUAUAUACAGUAUAUAUUUUAAGCCCUUACCUUCUGUCCUAGAAUCAAUAACUAAGUAUGAGUUCCAAGGCAGAAGAGCAGUAAGAGCUAAGUAAUGGGGGUUGUGACUUGCCCAGGGUCACACAACUAGGCAGUGUCAGUUCAGAUUUGAACCUUGGCUCUCCUGUCUCCAGAUCUGG